UGUGUAGGCGGUCCCUUAAGUUUGGUGUGAAAUCUCCCGGCUCAACCGGGAGGGUGCGCCGAAUACUGAGGGGCUAGAGUGCGGGAGAGGAGAGUGGAAUUCCUGGUGUAGCGGUGAAAUGCGUAGAUAUCAGGAGGAACACCGGUGGUGCAAACGGCUCUCUGGACCGUAACUGACGCUGAAACACGAAAGCGUGGGUAGCAAACAGGAUUAGAUACCCUGGUAGUCCACGCCCUAAACGAUGCAUAUUUGGUGUGGGUCAUUCAGUUGAUCCGUGCCGGAGCUAACGCGUUAAAUAUGCCGCCUGGGGAGUACAGUCGCAAGGCUGAA
rnacentral:rRNA from 1 species